CCCUUAAAUCCAACUUGGUUUAUUUUCAAAUACCGCCAAAUCCAAAUUAGCCAAUCAGAUACUUAGCUAGAUGGUCAUGUGGUCAAAAUUGUAUUCCGUUGAUAUUAUUAUUUUGAAUUGCUGUCAGAAACGUCUCGUUUGCGGUUGACAUCAGUAUGUUUUCAAAGUUUAUUUAAUUUAAAAAAGUAUAAUAAAAGUAAUGUGCGAUAACACGAAAGAAAUCGUCGUAGUAUAUUUUGAUUUAGGCUAGAAAGAGGCAGCGAGCUCCAGAAAAUUGGAAAAGGAAUGCGGAAAAGACCAGAAGAUAUUCUGCUGUAACUCUACCAAAAUACCCAAAAUGUAAACAUUGUACUAAAAGUUAUAGAUGCAGUACUUUGACAAUGUUAGAUAUUAAAAAGUUUCAUAAUGCUUAUUAAAAUUUAAAUUAAAAUUGAAUCGGUUAAUUUGAAUUUAAUUAAAAUUAACUAAAAAUAUUUUAAAUCAUAAUAAUGUAAAAUUUUUUAAAUAAAUUUUUUUAUAAAUUUAA